rnacentral:misc_RNA from 1 species
CCCCAGUUCCAAGCCCCAGCACAACAAGGAGGGAAAUUUGGACGAGUCGUAUAUUUAUCA